GUGGGGUAUGUGAAGACAUGAACAGGGGCGACACUACAGUGCGUCAUACUAGAGUUUAAACUUUAGUCUUAGAGGCAGGAGAAACCACUGAAGAGUUCCAGAAGGACAUGAUCAGAAUUGUAUCUUGGAAAAAUAAUGUGGGACAGCUGUGUGAGAAGGUGCCAGAGAAGGAAGCAAGGAUUCCAUCCAAGUGAGCCUAACAUGGAGAAGAAGUGAGGGAAGUGUUAGCCAGCAAAUCUGAACUUGAGCCUCCUCUCAUGCGUAGCCAGGGUGAAAAAUCAGGCUAAGAGGACAACUGGACAAGGAGGAGCAGGGGAACUGGGGCUGUUUAGGGUGACUGUCAGCUUUCCGAUUAGACACAACCUUUCUUACCCCAGAUUCCUGCACGGAAUCGAACUUUAGUGUCUGGAGGUAUCUAUUUUAUAUAGUGGAUUUACUUCCUUUCUAAGCAUCUAGAAUGGUUCUAGACAUAUGCCAUUGCUGAGAUAAUCAAGAAAACAUUCAUGAGGACUCCGUUACUACUAGCAGUAGUCAUAGUAAUUUGAAUGGUUGGGUGGAGAAGCA
rnacentral:lncRNA from 1 species